rnacentral:misc_RNA from 1 species
AGAGGGAAAACGCGUUCCAUUGGAAACGUUCCUCCCUAUGGAUGUAAUCUACUGAAGGAAAGAAACAUAAGAUAUGACAACUAGAAUGAAAACAUUACGAAAGAGAAAGAAUGGUGAUUUGGAGGAAAGCAAUAAAAACCAGUAUGAUUUUAAUUUUGAGGAGGUUGAAAAUACUCCACCCAAGAAAAAAAGACCUUCAGAAAAUACCUGUAAGCUGUCCGUGACUGCAACAGUUGAUAGUCCAGUUACAUCGCAAUCCGACACAGAGGUGGAAGAGGAAAUAGCUGUGAAAUCCUUCUAUGGAAAAAGGGAGAAAAAAUCUUUUCCACACUCACCCAAAAGACGCCAAGCAGCAAAGAAGGUGUUGAAAAAACUUUCAGAUGAAGAAAAUGUCUCACAGGGUGAAAGUCAGACAACUGAUAGCGAACCGGAGGCAAAGAAUAAAGAGAAGACAGAUCUGGGACCAAGGACCAGGAAAGGUGUUAAACCUGCAACCCCAUCCAUUCAGAAAAAUGAGACAUCAAAAACUAACUCACCUAGAACACCAACAGUUCAGACUAAGUCACCAAGAACACCUAUUAUCCGGAACAAGACAAACUCACCAUUAAAACCAUCAACACCUGGCACUGGAGAGAGACGGUUCUUUAAACACAGAUGUCCUGGAUCUGCCGAGAAAUUCAUCCCUGGUGUGGUCAUACGCAAAGGAUUUGACCUAAAAUUUACACCUAACCGAAAGGAGAUUGUGUUGGGAAAGCAAAAGAAGGGCAGUGAUAAGACCAAAGCCAAAAAGACAGCAUGGCCUCUUACACCAUUUCCUAAAGUUGAAGCUAAAAACUCUAGGAAGGCAGGGUUAACUGUUAAAAACAAUGUAAGGCAUUCUUAUCCAAUAUCUUCUUGUCAGAGAAAGACUUCUCAAGAAAGUAGUCCCACAUUAAGCCAAGAAGAAAGUGAAGAUUCCAACAAAACCAGUUCUCCAAACUCUGUGUCUUCAUCCCAGUCUGUUGUAGAUUCUGUUCAUUCUGGGCCAUCCAUUCGCAUCAGGACCAAAACUCAGACAUUAGAGCCAGCAUCUCAGCCAAUGAAUUCGGAGCUGGACAUCAAAACAAACUCAAGAUUUAUCACAGAAGACAAAAUCUCACUUAGCACAGACAAUAUAUCUUCUAAUGGAGAUGCAACUUCUGAUGUAAUGGAGGGCAUUAAACCUAUUGAAACUGUGGACAGUGAAGGUGAGGGUUCACCCAAGAAACCCAAUGACAUUACCAAUACCCCACAGGAAGAGACCCGGUCCAGUAGUUCUACAGGGAGUCCUACGACAUCCUCUACAGCAUCGCCCCAGCAAAAGCUGUUCCCAAUAUUUAACAAGGUCACACCCAGUCCAAAGUCCAGGCUACGGACACUCAGAGACACACGAAGCAGAUCUGUUUCUAAAUCCCCAAAGCUGAGAUUUAUUGAAAAUAAAGAUGAUCAAAUGACUUUGGAUGCUGGUCAGAAGAAAUUUGGAGCCACGCAGUGUGAUACCUGUGGAAUGAUUUACUCCCAAGCAGAACCUACUGAUGAAACCACUCAUGCAAAAUUCCACCAGAGCAUCCUCAAUGCCCUCAAAUUUCCUGGUUGGAAGAAAGAGAGAGUGGUACAGGAGUUUGAUGACGGUAGUCGGAUCAUCAUGGUGACCUAUGAAGAUCCCAAAUACGCUCACAAAAAGGUUGAAGAGAUCAAUAGAAUUAUGGGAGCUGAGCUGGGAUUUCCAGAGAGCACUUUAAUUUUCAGAACGGAUUAUAAGGUUUUUCUAAUGAUUUCUGAUGAGAAGAAGAUCAUUGGAUGCUGUAUUGCCGAGAAUAUUACACAGGGUCAUCGAGUGAUUGCAGAUUCACAGUCCAGUCAAGAGUCUGGUUCCCGGCCCUGGUACUGUGACUCGGAACCAGAACCAGCUUCUGUAGGAAUCAGCAAAAUCUGGGUUCAUAAGCUGCACAGGAGAACCGGAGUAGCCUGCAAACUACUGGACUGUGUUAGGCAACACUUUCACUAUGGAACAUUUAUUCCCAAAAAACGAAUAGCAUUCUCGGAUCCAACACCAGAUGGGAAGAAGUUGGCCACUAAAUACACAGGAACCAGUUCAUUCUUAGUGUACAAGUUUGGUUGAAAUCAGCUUGAUUAGAAGCUUGGUUACUGAUCUUUUCUUUUAUUUUCGUUAAAAAAGCACACCUGUUUGAUAAGUACUUGUAUACAAUCUGCACUCUUUUAUGUUAGUAUGAUUAUGUUUUAUACUCCUAGUCAAGUGAUCUUGUUUUAAGGAAUGAACUUUUUAAGGAACCAUACAAUGUCCAUCAAAUGUUAUUGAUUUUGACCAAUUUUGUCCAUUAAAUCAUCAUAAAAAAUAAAAAUUAUUGAAGACAG